UACGUAGGGUGCAAGCGUUGUCCGGAAUUAUUGGGCGUAAAGAGCUCGUAGGCGGUCUGUCACGUCGGCUGUGAAAACCCGGGGCUCAACCCCGGGCCUGCAGUCGAUACGGGCAGACUAGAGUGCGGUAGGGGAGACUGGAAUUCCUGGUGUAGCGGUGAAAUGCGCAGAUAUCAGGAGGAACACCGGUGGCGAAGGCGGGUCUCUGGGCAAUAACUGACGCUGAGGAGCGAAAGCGUGGGGAGCGAACAGG
rnacentral:rRNA from 1 species